GUCCGGGUGGCGCAAUUGGCAGACGCGGCAGGUUGAGAUCCUGUCUGUUGUGGGUUCGAGUCCCAUCCCGGGCA
rnacentral:tRNA from 1 species